rnacentral:rRNA from 1 species
GGUUAAGCGACUAAGCGUACACGGUGGAUGCCCUGGCAGUCAGAGGCGAUGAAGGACGUGCUAAUCUGCGAUAAGCGUCGGUAAGGUGAUAUGAACCGUUAUAACCGGCGAUUUCCGAAUGGGGAAACCCAGUGUGUUUCGACACACUAUCAUUAACUGAAUCCAUAGGUUAAUGAGGCGAACCGGGGGAACUGAAACAUCUAAGUACCCCGAGGAAAAGAAAUCAACCGAGAUUCCCCCAGUAGCGGCGAGCGAACGGGGAGCAGCCCAGAGCCUGAAUCAGUGUGUGUGUUAGUGGAAGCGUCUGGAAAGGCGCGCGAUACAGGGUGACAGCCCCGUACACAAAAAUGCACAUGCUGUGAGCUCGAUGAGUAGGGCGGGACACGUGGUAUCCUGUCUGAAUAUGGGGGGACCAUCCUCCAAGGCUAAAUACUCCUGACUGACCGAUAGUGAACCAGUACCGUGAGGGAAAGGCGAAAAGAACCCCGGCGAGGGGAGUGAAAAAGAACCUGAAACCGUGUACGUACAAGCAGUGGGAGCCUCUUUUAUGGGGUGACUGCGUACCUUUUGUAUAAUGGGUCAGCGACUUAUAUUCUGUAGCAAGGUUAACCGAAUAGGGGAGCCGAAGGGAAACCGAGUCUUAACUGGGCGUUAAGUUGCAGGGUAUAGACCCGAAACCCGGUGAUCUAGCCAUGGGCAGGUUGAAGGUUGGGUAACACUAACUGGAGGACCGAACCGACUAAUGUUGAAAAAUUAGCGGAUGACUUGUGGCUGGGGGUGAAAGGCCAAUCAAACCGGGAGAUAGCUGGUUCUCCCCGAAAGCUAUUUAGGUAGCGCCUCGUGAAUUCAUCUCCGGGGGUAGAGCACUGUUUCGGCAAGGGGGUCAUCCCGACUUACCAACCCGAUGCAAACUGCGAAUACCGGAGAAUGUUAUCACGGGAGACACACGGCGGGUGCUAACGUCCGUCGUGAAGAGGGAAACAACCCAGACCGCCAGCUAAGGUCCCAAAGUCAUGGUUAAGUGGGAAACGAUGUGGGAAGGCCCAGACAGCCAGGAUGUUGGCUUAGAAGCAGCCAUCAUUUAAAGAAAGCGUAAUAGCUCACUGGUCGAGUCGGCCUGCGCGGAAGAUGUAACGGGGCUAAACCAUGCACCGAAGCUGCGGCAGCGACGCUUAUGCGUUGUUGGGUAGGGGAGCGUUCUGUAAGCCUGUGAAGGUGUGCUGUGAGGCAUGCUGGAGGUAUCAGAAGUGCGAAUGCUGACAUAAGUAACGAUAAAGCGGGUGAAAAGCCCGCUCGCCGGAAGACCAAGGGUUCCUGUCCAACGUUAAUCGGGGCAGGGUGAGUCGACCCCUAAGGCGAGGCCGAAAGGCGUAGUCGAUGGGAAACAGGUUAAUAUUCCUGUACUUGGUGUUACUGCGAAGGGGGGACGGAGAAGGCUAUGUUGGCCGGGCGACGGUUGUCCCGGUUUAAGCGUGUAGGCUGGUUUUCCAGGCAAAUCCGGAAAAUCAAGGCUGAGGCGUGAUGACGAGGCACUACGGUGCUGAAGCAACAAAUGCCCUGCUUCCAGGAAAAGCCUCUAAGCAUCAGGUAACAUCAAAUCGUACCCCAAACCGACACAGGUGGUCAGGUAGAGAAUACCAAGGCGCUUGAGAGAACUCGGGUGAAGGAACUAGGCAAAAUGGUGCCGUAACUUCGGGAGAAGGCACGCUGAUAUGUAGGUGAAG